UCGAGGUGUAAGGUACAUAUUUGUCCCUUACAUAUUUGUACCUUAAUGUUUAAAUAUAAAAUAGCAGGAAUUAGUGGAUGCUGAAAAUGUCAUCUCUCAAUAUAGAAACACAAGUUAACCUAUACUAUCAAACUCAAUAAUUGUCAAACUAAAUUAACUGUAAAGUUUUGAGAUAUGGGCAAAAUAAAUCAGAAUGUGUAAAGUUUUGAGAUAUGGGCAAAAUAAAUCAGAAUGUGUAAAGUUUUGAGAUAUGGGCAAAAUAAAUCAGAAUUUUUUUUUUUGUUUGUUUGUUUUUUUGUGAAGUGUCCCUUUGAAUCAUUUUUAAUCAUGUUAAUGAGGAUUAUGUAAUCAUUUAUAUUCACAAACAGUAUUGAAGAAUUUGAUUUUCAAACCCUUUACCCUAUUUAUAUUAGAAUAAAACAGACAAAUAAUUGUUAACGCUUUAAGUUGUGUUCUAUUGAAAGGAUCUAGCUACAGGCUAACCAGAGUUUGACUCGGCGGAAGCAUAAAUAUUGCAGCGCGGAAGGAUACAUGAGUGAAUCGACAGUGAUCCAACUGUCAGUGUCGAUCAAAGGUGGGAGGAUGGCGCUUCGACAUUUAUCCACGGAAGAUUUAAUCACGGAGUUAUUUAAUUUUGGGAUAGAGGUCACUGAAGAGGAGAGAAGUAAAUUCAAAGAUAAUGAAGUUGACGGAGAAGCAGUGGACUAUGGAUUGACUGAGAGGAUUAUUUCAUGCCUCUUUGAAGGAUCGUUUAAGAAGCAAGCCAAAUUCAACCGAUUUGUUCAGCAGUUCUAAACAUACACACAGAUUGGGCAUUAUGUGGAAAACUAUUAAUUCCUCUUUCUUUCUGUCAUCACUAUUACGCCUACUUGGUGAAAUAUGAACAGGACUGGACUGUCCUUGACCCUUUUGAGGUGAUGGAUUUUCAUGCUUUGGAUACAUACUGUGUCGAUGAUAAACUGUUUGUUAGUAUGCGGCAUUUAUGUUAAGCUGUGUUGGGAGGGUUGUAGAGCGUUGUGGAUGAGCUCAAAGCUUGUGUUUUUUAAUCCAGAACACAUCAAGUGUCAUGUAGUUUAUCCGUUAAGUGACUCUCUUUACUUUGGUGUGGUGUGCUAAAGUGUUUUGCUUGGUCUUUGAUAAUAAACAUGUUUUUCUGCACUAUAUUGCUGUUCUUAUUAGUGAUGUUCAUGAAAUUGAAAGAAGGAAAAUAUAAAUGGUUCCAUUGUAUUUAUUCCCUGCUAUGCAUCUAUUCUCUGAUAUCGCUGUUCAUUUUGUUUUUGGAGUGGCAGUAAGUUGUCAGUUGGUCAGUGAAAUGCUUCUUAAAAAAUGUAAUCAAUUAUUUUUAAUGUUUUUUAUAUCAGACAUGACAUCCUAAACAUUGUGGCAUUUUAUUUUGGGAUGUUACAUUGUAUGGUUGUGAGAUGAAUUAUUAUUGAAUCGGUGAAUUCAACUGUUUUCCAUUUAAGGACUAAAAUAAAUGUCUAAAAUUCA
ensembl:lncRNA